GAAAAGUUUCUACUUAUCUGAAUUCGCUCCCCUGUGUUGAAGAUUCUGAUUUCACCAACCUAAUAUCCGGCGAUAAGUCCAAUGAAAUUAGCCUUGUUUUGGAUGCAAAUCAAAUGGUUGUUGACAAAUUCCUCGGCGCUAGAGUUUUCUGGAUCAAUAAGAAGGAUGAAUUUACUGGUUUGAAAUCGCUUGUUAUGAAGAUUAGGAAAAAGGAUAAGCGUCGAAUUUUACAGCCUUACCUUCAGUAUAUACACUCUGUGUUCGAUGAAAUUGAGCAGAGGAAAAAGGAGGUGAGAUUAUUCGUCAAUGUAGAUAAUGAACCUCAGAGAAACGGACGGUGGAGAUCAGUGCCGUUCGCACACCCAGCAACUUUUGAUACGGUAGUG
rnacentral:lncRNA from 1 species